GAGCUCGUAGCGCAACGGUAGCGCGUCUGACUUCAGAUCAGAAGGCUGUGUGUUCGAACCACGUCAGGUUCA
rnacentral:tRNA from 1 species